rnacentral:snoRNA from 1 species
UCCCUCUAGAUCCCUCCCCCCUCAGAUUUAAAUAUUGCUCCCGUGGCUGAAAAAGGAGGAAAAGUAAAAGUGAAAUGGACUUGGAAUCUUUAUUGACAUAGAAAUUCACUUCAAAGCUAU